rnacentral:rRNA from 1 species
UACGUAGGGUGCGAGCGUUAAUCGGAAUUACUGGGCGUAAAGCGUGCGCAGGCGGCUUCGCAAGUCAGACGUGAAAUCCCCGGGCUUAACCUGGGAAUGGCGUUUGAAACUACGGAGCUGGAGUAUGGCAGAGGGGGGUGGAAUUCCACGUGUAGCGGUGAAAUGCGUAGAUAUGUGGAGGAAUACCGAUGGCGAAGGCAGCCUCCUGGGCCAACACUGACGCUCAUGCACGAAAGCGUGGGGAGCAAACAGG